AUCUAACUGAUGAGUCCCAAAUAGGACAAGAGGUAAGUCCUGGAU
rfam:Schistosoma rodhaini strain Burundi genome assembly, scaffold: SROB_scaffold0000016